CCUUGAGACCGGAGUGUGAGGGGCCAACGGGGAAGGGCGCUAGAAUUUUAAACUAAAGUAGGGACCGGAAUUCCCCUGGGGAGAUGUUGGAUGGCCCUGUGCACUGCCACGGGCUCUUUAUUCUUCGCUGGUUAGAAACAGACUUGUGAAAAAGAGUUAUGCCCACUUUGGGGAGACUUCGGUAGGUUUAUUUAAAUGCUCAUAUUAUUAAUUAGUUCAUAGGUCGUGUUUUAAGCGAAAAUGGGUAUCUAAGAUUUGUCUUAAAGUUUGUGUCUUACGGUUUUACAUUUCAUGUUACAGAAAAGGUUAAGAAGUUCUUACAAGAGUUCUACCAGGAUGAUGAACUCGGGAAGAAGCAGUUCAAGUAUGGGAACCAGUUGGUUCGGCUGGCUCAUCGGGAACAGGUGGCUCUGUAUGUGGACCUGGACGACGUAGCCGAGGAUGACCC
rnacentral:lncRNA from 1 species